rnacentral:rRNA from 1 species
UACGGAGGGGGGCAAGCGUUUGUUCGGAAUUACUGGGCGUAAAGGGCGCGCAGGCGGCUGCUCAAGUCAGGCGUGAAAGGCCUGGGCUCAACCCGGGAAUUGCGCUUGAGACUGGGCUGGCUUGAGUGCGGGAGAGGAUGGUGGAAUUCCCAGUGUAGAGGUGAAAUUCGUAGAUAUUGGGAAGAACACCGGUGGCGAAGGCGGCCAUCUGGACCGCAACUGACGCUGAGGCGCGAAAAGCGUGGGGAGCAAACAGG